CUACACAAGAAAAGCUCAAAAAAUGAGAGUAGGCACGGAGCAGCCUAAGGUGCAAGACAGAUCCAGAAAAUGGUGAUAAUUUCUUGGAGAUUGUUGCAGGGAAGCUAAUAAAUACCUGGCUAUAUGCAAAUGCCAUUUUUAGGAGGCAGCACGCGUCAUAGAACUGGAGUAUGAGUUAGGAUCAUCCGAUCUGACUUUCCAGGCCUCACCAAGUCAUGUAACAAAGGAAAGUACCCAAUAGCUGUUUCCUAGCUGUGGGAGAAGGCUGUGCUGCUGUCAUGCAGACAGAAGUUGAGUCCAUCUUUACUACUUAAUACUGCUAAGCCAAUUAUAUUUUAUGAGUAUGCUUUCUUAUAUUAAUCUGAGAUUUUUUCCUUAUUAACCAAGAAUUCAUCAUGAUACUAGUUCUCCCUGCCCUUGUCAUCUGAUCUUUACCUGUCUUUAAGUACUGCUUAAAUACUCUUCUGAUGGCUCUAUAAUUGAGGAA
rnacentral:lncRNA from 1 species